rnacentral:snRNA from 1 species
AUCCAAGUGCAAGGGCAUUAACCGCAGCAGUGAAGAUUCGUCUGAGCUCGGUUUUUUGCUAGUUGAAAAUUACAACAAUGGCUGCUCCUGUUGGCCCGUUGGGUCGGCAGGGAAUUUUUGGCGAAACACUACAAAAGAUGGAGACUUUUCACUUCGCCGUCUGGCGGUGUU